GGAGGGGUGGCCGAGAGGCUGAAGGCGGCGGUUUGCUAAACCGUUAUACUAGGAAACUGGUAUCGUGGGUUCGAAUCCCAUCCCCUCCGCCA
rnacentral:tRNA from 1 species